UUGUUUUUUUUUUACUUUUUGUUUUCUUUAUAAAAUAUAAUAACAAUAAUAAUAAGUAAAUUGCAUUUUUUAAAUUAAAUAAAUUUUAAAAAAAAUACUAUUUUAUGCAUUUAUGAAAAAAACAAGAGAAAAUAAAAAAAGUAUAUGGUAUUAAUAUAAUUUAUAAACAAGGUCAAAAAUAGAAAUAAAAUUUGAUUAACAUAUUACUCUUGGGAGUCAAUUCAACUUUAAUUGAACACAAUGAUCCAUUUGGUAGAGAUGCAUGUUUAAGAGUUGCAAGGAGAAGGUCUUGAGUUCAAAUCUCUAUCUUGUCACUUUUACAAUUUUUCUCCUUUCCAUGUUUUACCUUCAAUCAUAUCAUCUUAAAAUAAAUUUGUAUUACUUUUUAUUUUAUUUUUUCAAUUUUUAUUAAUUAUUUAUUUUUAAUAUAUUUUUCUAAAAAAAAUAAAAUUUUAUUAUUUGUUAUUUUAAUUUUUCAAUUUUUUUUAAUUUAUCAUUAUUAUAUUAUUUAUUUUAAUAUAAAAAAAAUAAAAAUCAAUCAAGAUAAAAUUAAAGAAAAAAAAUUCAAAAUUUUUUUUUUGUUAUUACUUUCUUAAGUUUAUUUUUAUCACUUUUUAUCACCCAUUUUUAUUAGUAUUAA
rnacentral:lncRNA from 1 species